GGGGUGCGACACGAGGACUUCCCAGGAGGUCACCCAUCCUAGUACAACUCUCGCCCAAGCACACUUAACUGCGGAGUUCUGA
rnacentral:rRNA from 1 species